rnacentral:rRNA from 1 species
AUGGAGGAGUACUCAUACCUGUACCUUGGCUUGGCUCUGGUGUCGCUGCUCGUCGUCGUGCUCGCCGGCCGCAGGCGCACGGCGAAACAUGGCGUCCAAGGACUGCGGCCACCACCAUCUCCGUGGGCGCUCCCAGUGAUCGGCCACCUGCACCACCUCGUGGGCGCUCUACCGCACCAUGCCAUGCGCGGCCUGUCCCGGCGACACGGCUCGGUCAUGCUGCUCCGGCUCGGCGAGGUGCCAACGCUAGUGAUCACCUCCCGCGAGGCGGCAAGCGAGGUGAUGAAGACCCACGAUACGGUGUUCGCCUCUCGCCGGUUGAGACCCACCACAAGCGUGCUAACCAACGGCGGGCGGGAAAUCAUUUUUGCGCCGUACGGGGAGUACUGGCGGCAGCUCCGCAAAAUCGCCGUCACGGAGCUCCUCACUGCGCGGCGCAUACGAUCUUUCCGGUGGAUCCGUGAGGAGGAGGUCGCUGCCACUCUACACGAUGUCGCCGAGGCGGCGGUGAAGGCGCGCCCGAUGGAGAUGCGCGCGCGGCUGUCCACGCUGGUGGCCGAGACCAUGGUGCGUGCGGUGAUGGGUGUCCGGUGCAAGGACAUAGACGUGUUCCUCACUAGUCUGGAGCGCGCCGUGGAGCUGGCGGGGGGGUUCAACUUGGCCGACCUGUGGCCUUCGUCGCGUCUCGCCUGCGCGCUCACCAGCGCCGGGAAAGAGGCCAAGGAAUGCAGAGACGCCGUCUUCGGGAUCCUAGACGGCAUCAUCCAAAAGCACCUGGAGAGGACGGGUGACGGCCAUACCGAGGAUCUGCUGGAUGUGCUGCUGAAAAUUCAGAAGGAGGGGGAUCUCAAGUUCCCGCUGGACAUGGAUGAUAUCAAAUCCUUCGUCUUCGGGCUCUUCGCCGCCGGCAGCGAGUCGGUUUUCACCACGCUGGAGUGGGUGUUCGCGGAGCUGACCAAGAACCCAAGGGUGAUGCAGCGGACGACGGCUGAGGUGCGGCAAGCCUUCGAGGCCAGCGGAACGGCGGUCGAGGGAAGGCUCGGCGAGCUCCCGUACAUGCACCUCGUCAUCCGGGAGACGCUGCGGCUGCACCCAGCGGUGCCGCUGCUGAUUCCACGAGAGAGCCGGGAGAUGUGCCAGGUGCUAGGGUACGACGUGCCACAGGGCACACAGGUUCUGGUCAACGUCUGGGCGAUGGGCCGCGACGAGCGAUAUUGGGACGCGCCCGAGGAGUUCCGGCCGGAGAGGUUCGAGUGCGAGGCGGCGAGGGACUUCAAGGGCCUCGACUUCGAGCUCCUGCCUUUUGGCGCCGGGCGGAGGAUGUGCCCUGGCAUGAACUUCGGCGUCGCCGUCCUGGAGCUCGCCCUAGCCAGUCUGCUGCUCCACUUCGACUGGGAGUGGGAGGAGCCCGGACUGUCCGAUCCCACGCAGUUGGACAUGACCGAGACGUUCGGGCUCACUGCCCGGCGGAAGGCCAACCUCCUGCUACGCCCAGUCCUCCGCGUGCCCGUGCCGGUUCCCGUUCCCGGCAUGCCUUGUCCAGGGGCCGAGCUGCCUUAA